rnacentral:rRNA from 1 species
UACGUAGGGCGCGAGCGUUGUCCGGAUUUAUUGGGCGUAAAGAGCUCGUAGGCGGCUUGUCGCGUCGUCCGUGAAAACCUGCGGCUCAACUGCAGGCUGGCGGUCGAUACGGGCAGGCUGGAGUUCGGUAGGGGAGACUGGAAUUCUCGGUGUAGCGGUGAAAUGCGUAGAUAUCGAGAGGAACACCUGCGGCGAAGGCGGGUUGCUGGGCUGACACUGACGCUGAUGCGCGAAAGCCAGGGGAGCGAACAGG